GGGGGUGGGGGCAGACUAUACAUGCAGUCGACGCACAGCGAAAGGUGCUUGCACCUUUCAAGUGAGUGGCGAACGGGUGAGUAACACGUGGACAACCUGCCUCAAGGCUGGGGAUAACAUUUGGAAACAGAUGCUAAUACCGAAUAAAACUUAGUGUCGCAUGACACAAAGUUAAAAGGCGCUUCGGCGUCACCUAGAGAUGGAUCCGCGGUGCAUUAGUUAGUUGGUGGGGUAAAGGCCUACCAAGACAAUGAUGCAUAGCCGAGUUGAGAGACUGAUCGGCCACAUUGGGACUGAGACACGGCCCAAACUCCUACGGGAGGCUGCAGUAGGGAAUCUUCCACAAUGGGCGAAAGCCUGAUGGAGCAACGCCGCGUGUGUGAUGAAGGCUUUCGGGUCGUAAAGCACUGUUGUAUGGGAAGAACAGCUAGAAUAGGAAAUGAUUUUAGUUUGACGGUACCAUACCAGAAAGGGACGGCUAAAUACGUGCCAGCAGCCGCGGUAAUACGUAUGUCCCGAGCGUUAUCCGGAUUUAUUGGGCGUAAAGCGAGCGCAGACGGUUUAUUAAGUCUGAUGUGAAAGCCCGGAGCUCAACUCCGGAAUGGCAUUGGAAACUGGUUAACUUGAGUGCAGUAGAGGUAAGUGGAACUCCAUGUGUAGCGGUGGAAUGCGUAGAUAUAUGGAAGAACACCAGUGGCGAAGGCGGCUUACUGGACUGCAACUGACGUUGAGGCUCGAAAGUGUGGGUAGCAAACAGGAUUAGAUACCCUGGUAGUCCACACCGUAAACGAUGAACACUAGGUGUUAGGAGGUUUCCGCCUCUUAGUGCCGAAGCUAACGCAUUAAGUGUUCCGCCUGGGGAGUACGACCGCAAGGUUGAAACUCAAAGGAAUUGACGGGGACCCGCACAAGCGGUGGAGCAUGUGGUUUAAUUCGAAGCAACGCGAAGAACCUUACCAGGUCUUGACAUCCUUUGAAGCUUUUAGAGAUAGAAGUGUUCUCUUCGGAGACAAAGUGACAGUGGUGCAUGGUCGUCGUCAGCUCGUGUCGUGAGAUGUUGGGUUAAGUCCCGCAACGAGCGCAACCCUUAUUGUUAGUUGCCAGCAUUCAGAUG
rnacentral:rRNA from 1 species